rnacentral:rRNA from 1 species
CCUACGGGAGGCAGCAGUAGGGAAUCUUCCACAAUGGGCGAAAGCCUGAUGGAGCAACGCCGCGUGGGUGAAGAAGGUCUUCGGAUCGUAAAACCCUGUUGUUAGAGAAGAAAGUGCGUGAGAGUAACUGUUCACGUUUCGACGGUAUCUAACCAGAAAGCCACGGCUAACUACGUGCCAGCAGCCGCGGUAAUACGUAGGUGGCAAGCGUUAUCCGGAUUUAUUGGGCGUAAAGGGAACGCAGGCGGGCUUUUAAGUCUGAUGUGAAAGCCUUCGGCUUAACCGGAGUAGUGCAUUGGAAACUGGAGGACUUGAGUGAAGAAGAGGAGAGUGGAACUCCAUGUGUAGCGGUGAAAUGCGUAGAUAUAUGGAAGAACACCAGUGGCGAAGGCGGCUCUCUGGGCUGUAACUGACGCUGAGGUUCGAAAGCGUGGGUAGCAAACAGGAUUAGAUACCCGAGUAGUC